rnacentral:rRNA from 1 species
GAUGAACGCUGGCGGCGUGCCUAAUACAUGCAAGUCGAACGCUGGAAAUCUAGCUUGCUAGAUUGAAGGAGUGGCGAACGGGUGAGUAAUACAUAAGCAACCUACCCACGAAGACUGGGAUAAUCUCUGGAAACGGGGACUAAUACCGGAUAGGUAAUCGGAAGGCAUCUUCUGAUUAUUAAAGGUUAAAAACACUGGUGGAUGGGCUUAUGGCGCAUUAGUUAGUUGGUGAGGUAACGGCCCACCAAGACGAUGAUGCGUAGCCGGCCUGAGAGGGUGAACGGCCACAUUGGGACGGAGACACGGCCCAGACUCCUACGGGAGGCAGCAGUAGGGAAUUUUCGGCAAUGGGGGAAACCCUGACCGAGCAACGCCGCGUGAGUGAUGACGGCCUUCGGGUUGUAAAGCUCUGUUGUAAGGGAAGAACGGUAGAUAGAGAAUAUCUAAAUGACGGUACCUUACCAGAAAGCCACGGCUAACUACGUG